AUACUAUUCUCUCCAUUUGAAAAUACUUGUCCAAAGAAUAGAUGUAUCUGGAUGUAUUUUAGUUCUAGAUACAUCAAUUGCUAUUCAUUUUUGCGACAAGUAAUUGGGGACGGAGGGAGUACUUG
rnacentral:pre_miRNA from 1 species